rnacentral:lncRNA from 1 species
AAUAGAAAUAACACUUGUUUUCUUAAAAAUUGCCUAAAAGCAUCAUGCAGAACAAAUAAAUAUGUACAAAUCUUAUUUCUUUGAGAUCUGUGUGAUUGCAUCUAGGAAUGUCAGGAAUGCACCAGAGUUUGUGGUUUAGCAUCUGCAGACAUUGAAAUAAUAAAUGGUAAAACAGCUCUUUUGGGAAAAGAUCUGGGUCAUCAUCAUCUUGAUCUUUUAUGCCCUUCCUUUUUUUUAGUUUUCACAUCUGGAAUAUCCUCUUUUUGGUGGUAAAUAACCUUUGUCCCAUGAAAAGAGUGAUAUUUUCACAACAGAAAAUAGCCUCUGGCAGUCCCUUUGAAUGUGUUCCUUAUGACUUACAACAUCCAACUUUUGGGGGAUUGCUUGAGUUGGGCUUCAUGAAUGACCAGUUUCUCAUAUCACUACAUGCCUUACAUUCUAGCAUAUCAAAAUGGAUAAAGUAUUUUUGAAAUAGAUCCAGUGUUUAAAUUCUUUUCUUAUUUAAAUCCCCAAAAAAUGUUCUACUGUAUUUCCAUUAUUUUCUUUUACAAGGAACAUCGUGAUGGACAGCUUCCACUGAAAGUUGUUUUCAUAGUUCAGAGUAUUCCUGUAUUUCUUUUGGCUGGAAUCCCAGCAGAGAAACUAUUGGAUUAAAUGGUUUGAUGGGAUUUAAGAAUGCCUAUUUUUCCGUACUUUAUUAAUAUUGUAUACUUGGGAGGGGGGCCUUUUCCACUCGAAUAAAAGGAUAAGCAUGUUGUCUUAUUUUGCACUUAUUUGAUUAUUGAGACUAUUUUUCUUACAUGCUUCAAAUUCUUCUUAUGCUUUUGUUCGUUUAUUAUUAGAAUCUUAGUGUUUUUCUUGUGAAUGGAAUAAGUUCUUUAAAUAGAAAAUAUAUUAGUCUUUGAUCAUUAGAUUUUCCCGUUUGUCCCUUUAAUUUUUGUAAUUAUCUUUUUAGUAUAUAAAAGUGUUUGUGAAUGUAAAAAAGUUAAGAAAUGCAUGAUUUCUUUGAGUAAAAACUAGAAAAGAGACAUAAUAGCAAAAGGAAAAUUCGUUCAUUGCUCCAUCAUUCUAAUAAAACCACUGUCAACACUUUGAAAUGGGUAUAAAUUUGAGUCAGUAUUCUGAAUACAGAAUUUUAAAACCCUGUAAUUUUUU